CGUUGUUGCAGUUAAAAAGCUCGUAGUUGAAAUGAAGGGUAGUUGUGUAAUGAAUACAUUCGUGUAUUUUGUUAUUCUACUACCCUCCUUCUAAAUUCGAUAUAUGAGUAUUAAUUUACUUGUAUAUGGUUUUAGACCUUUACUGUGAGAAAAUUAGAGUGUUCAAAGCAGGCAUUUGCUUGAAUAUAUUAGCAUGGAAUAAUCAUGUAUGAUUUUCAUGAUGUAUUUGAUUGGUUUGGUUCAUGAGAAUAAGAUUAAAAGGGACAGUUGGGGGUAUUCAUAUUCAAUAGUCAGAGGUGAAAUUCUCGGAUUUAUGGAAGAUGAACAAGUGCGAAAGCAUUUACCAAGGAUGUUUU
rnacentral:rRNA from 1 species